CGCCAAUCAGCGGAAGCCGCCGGGGCCGCCUAGAGAAGAGGCUGUGCUUCGGCGCUCCGGCUCCUCAGAGAGCCUCGGCUAGCUGGGAUUCUGUCCCUGACCGUCUUCACAGUCCAGGUGAUCUUGACUACUGCUUUACAGAGAAUUGGAUCUGAGGUGUGGAAACAGGAAGAGAACUAGAACUGGAAGUAAAGCAUUGAAGAUGUGACUGAAUUGCUGCAAUCUCAUGAUCAAAUUUGAAUGGAUGAGGAGUUGCUUUUUAGGGAUGAGCAAAGAAAGUGGUUUCUCGAGAUGGAAUCUACUGGUUGCUCCUUGAGGGCAGGACAGUUCUUAUGGCUUUAUCCGUUGCGUAAGCACAGAGAGGUCUGCGAGGUCAAAACUAUUGUCAUGAUAGCAAGAUGCCUGUCUUUUUCAUUUAUUCUCACGGUGUGCAGAGGCUACAUGAUGUGUGAUGACAUCCUCAUUGAUGUUAAUGAAUGGUGCUAUACUUGAAUUUUCUAAGGUGUCAUUAGGUAGGUUUAGGUAUGCAUACUUGUUUUUAGAAAUUAUUUUUUUCCUUUUUCCCAUUUUUAGAAAUCAACUCAUUUUUUAGGUUAUGCCUUCAGUAAUCUUUGCAACCUCAAUAUUGUGUAAUGGUUACUUUAAAAUACUGUAGUUUUCUUUGUGCCUAAGUAUAAACAUAAGUACAUUUUGUUGUUUUGUUUGCAAUAGUGGUUUAAAUAUUUUCCCAAAAUAUCCAAAUUUAAAAAUUCUACAACUUUAGAAUUUAAUAAAUUUAUUCUAAAAUAUUUAUAUAUUUUUUCAUUUAAGAAUGGAUCGGCUUAAAAAGACUGCUUCUCAUUUACUUACUGGCUAUACCAUCUGUAUACUAAUAAAAAACAAGAUUUGAUUUGGAAGGACUGACUCAAACUAACGAAAAUAUGAAACCUGUCUUUCUGCUUUGGAGAUAUUUACCUAAUCAUGUUCUGCAGUAGAAUAAUUUAGUUCUUUUGUCUUUUUUUGGAGAUGAGGUCUUGCUGUGUUGCCCAGGCUAUUCACAGCUGCCAUCAUAGUGAACUACAGCCUGAAACUCCUGGGUUCAAGAGAUCCUUCUGCCUCAGCCUCCUGAGUAGCUGGAACUAUAGGCAUGCGCCACCAAGCCUGGGCUUUUAAAAAAAUUUUAAAAAGAAUUUUGAGACAGGAUCUUGCCAUGUUGCUCAGGCUAGUCUUCAACUCCUAGCCCUGAGUGAUCUUGCUUUGGGCCUCUCAAAAUGUUGAGUUAAUAGGCGUGAGCCACCAUACCCAGCCAAAAAUUUUUUUAGAGAUGGGAAUGGAAUGAUCUUGAAUAGUGUUGGUGCCACCUAUGUUGUGGCAUCAUUUUGAAACCAAUCAUUCAGAGUGCUUUUUUUGGUAAGGCAUUAUUUUUUAAUGCAGGUAUGCCACUACUGGGAAAAAAAAAAAAACAGGUUUUAAAGCUAGAAAUGAAAAGCUACUUAAGUAUCUUAAAGGAUAAGUUACUUUAUUAUACACUAGAAACAUACACAAUAGCUGAAAAACUUAAAAAAUCUCACACUGCUGAAUGUCUCUGCUGGCUGAAGUGUAAGUAAAAGAUCAUAGUAGUGCCGCUGUUGAGUGAUAAAGCAACUUGUCAUUAAAGAUGUGUGUGCAGACAUGGAUUCUGAGUUAAUAUCUCAUCUGUAGAAGUAUAUAUUUGUCCCUUGCUUUGGGAUUGGUUUCUGGACAGCACUCCCCCACCCUUGCUGGCCAUUUGCCAAGGACACCAAAACCCAAGGAUGUUGAAUUCCCUUUUAUAAAAUGGCGCUGUAUCUGCAUACAACUUACACACAUCCUCCCAUAUACUUUAAAUCAUUUCCAGAUUUCUUAUACUUCAUACAAUGUGAAUGCUAUAUAAAUAGUUGUUACAUUGUGUACUUAUAUUUGUACUAUUGUAUUAAAUAUUCUCAAAUAUUUUCAAGCACAUUUGGUUGAAUCUGCAGAUGCAGAACCUGAGGAUAUGGAGGGCUGACUGUGCUAAUACGUUAUCAAUGGAUGCGUGCAUAAACAUGGCUGGACUUGUUACUUGGCUUGUAUUUGCCAGGCAUCAGCACCAACUAGUUAAAGAUACUCUUACGUGAAAGCUUGGCAACAAACACAUGUCCUGAAAUAAUGCAAGUGUAGAAUAACUUUUUAAAAUCUCAUGGUUUAUGCUAAACUAUAUGUUGACAUAAGAGUGGUGAUAAGGCAACAGUAGGUAAAAGUAAAAUUUCAGGCACCUUGGCACAAACUGUGGCAGUGGCAUCAAACUCUAAGUUAUUUUUCACUGCCAUGCAUUUGUGGUGUGAACCCCCACAAAAGAAAAAAACCAGUUUCACUCAAGAAUGUCCUUGUGAAAGCAGUGACAUUUUGUUAAAUCUUAAACCCUACAGUACAUAACUUUUUGAAAUGGUUGUCUCAAGAAAAAGCACUCAUGUAAGCUGAAUUAUCUGCUAUUUCCUUGGAGCCUAACAACUGACAGCAAUUGUUUUCAAUGAUAAAAUCCAAACGUUGAGUCAAAAUCAGAAUUUCGGGAAAACUUGUGUCUAAUAUCAGGAACUUGACAGCUUCCCAAUACUUCAUGAGAUAGUGAUAUUGAAAAUAAUUUUUUUUUUUUUUUGGGACAUCUGGCUGACUGCAACCUCUGUCUCCUGGGUUCAAGCAAUUCUCCUGCCUCAGCCUCCUGCAUAACUGGGACUACAGGGAAGCACCAUUUUCCACAAAACUCUCAAGAAGGACUUGUUGCAACUGGAAAAGCAAUUAAAUGUGAAUCGUGAUCCAGGAGAAAGUAACAACUCACAUAACUCCCAAAUUAAAAGUUUUCCAAAGAUAUAUCAUUUUUUUUCUCUUGGCCUUUUAAGAAACUAGCCAACAAAUACUCUUGACAGGUUUGUGUUUGGUUUUGAAAACACACACCUUAGUGUACUGAAAGAAAAACAAUUUCUUUUAAUUUGGUUUGUUGGUCCCACACCCCAUCUAUCAAUGUAUGUGCUAUUUACAAAUAAGUUCUAUACAGUAUUUUUGCAGUACCUUUGAUAAUUCCUAGACCUCUAUUUUCAUUCUGUGUAUUAAUGUGAAUAACAGAUGGAUAUUUUAAUAUUUAAGGCAGAUGGUAAACUUUCCUAUAGGUCUUGUGAGACUUCGUCUUAUAGGCUGAACACCAUUCACAAAAUGUAAUAAUGCUUCAUUCCUUCAGGUUGAGGUAAAGAACUUGAGCAACUGGAUUAGCAAAGCUGCAAAGAAUGAAAUGUGGCCUAAGAUGUAAUUAUGUUCUCUGCCCUUCCUUUGGGCCAGGGUAGUUUUGCACUUGACACAAUGGAAAAUAGGCCAUAAAGCCUGAAAAUAAAAUGUUCUAAACCCCAA
rnacentral:lncRNA from 10 species